AGCCAUGUACUAAGUACAAUUCGAAUUAUUCUUUCGCCUUUUACUAAAGAAUACCGUGUACUUUAUACCCGAAAUGGCAUAAGCAAAUUUUUUACAUAGGGAUCCCAAUUACUGG